AACUUUUUCUGUUUUCUCUUAAACCAACUAUGAGUUAUAGCAAUUUGUAAGCAAAAUCGAAGCAUUUAUCUUUUUUUCCCUGUCUGAUCCAUCCAGAAUUUAAAAGCUCUUGAUGAACCCUUUCUGUUUCAGAGAUGAUCCAAAAGACCUGAAGGGAACUCAAACUAAGGAACUAGACACUGUCAAUUGUUUCUCUGUACCAUCUUUGUCAUGGAGACCGGGUUGUAUUGAAAUCCUGGUCUUCAUCCAUGCUGGAUGGGACCAUAUGAAAAAUGCCACAAAGAACAAGAACCAUGCCAUAGAAGUACAUCACAACUGGGAUCUCUCAAAUGUUGGCUGGCUUCAUACUCUAGACACUAACUUCUCUGAAUGGUCAAAUGAAGCCAUGACAGAGGACAAGUUGUUGUUCAGAAGACAGUCUCCUAAAGAUAAGUAAUAAAUGACUCCCAGGCUCUUACCUUACUUGUUGGGCUAUUAGACAGCAGGCUACUUGGCUACAUUGUAUUUCACCUGAAGUUCUAGGUAUUAACCUUGACUGGUUUACAGGCAUCCUCUCCUGGAUUCCUCAAGGAUUGAAGUCCAUUAUGGAGAGGAUACUAAAAUUUAGGCUGUCUAUUUUGCUAAUCUGUAUUGUCAUCUAUGUAAUUAUAAAACGUGAACUUAAGUGUUGUUCCAAAGUCAUUGAAUGGAAUACUAAAAUAUUAGUCAUGAAAGCAUAUCUUGCUCUCCACACCUGGUACCCAAAAAUAUUUUAAAAUAAAGGUAAAACAGUUUCAUUCCUCUGAUCCUGAUCUUCACCCUUUCACAGCAGGAAGUAGCUAGAGCAGUCUUCACCCCCCAUUCCCUAAGAUUGAGGAAUGAUCAUAAGAGGUGGGGAUUGAAACUGAGCAUGAAGAAGUUAAAAAAUCUUCCCUAGAGCAAAAAACUUUGAGAUAAGCUUUGCUAACUGCGGCUGUGCAUAUUCAGCAUAAUCAACUGUUGUUUAGAACCAACCA
rnacentral:lncRNA from 1 species